AACGCUAGCUACAGGCUUAACACAUGCAAGUCGAGGGGCAGCACAGUGUAGCAAUACAUGGGUGGCGACCGGCGCACGGGUGCGUAACGCGUAUCCAACCUUCCCGAUACUCUUGGAUAGCCUUCCGAAAGGGAGAUUAAUACAAGAUGGUGUUUCACUUUCGCAUGUUAUUGAAACUAAAGAUUUAUCGGUAUCGGAUGGGGAUGCGUGACAUUAGAUAGUAGGCGGGGUAACGGCCCACCUAGUCUACGAUGUCUAGGGGUUCUGAGAGGAAGGUCCCCCACACUGGAACUGAGACACGGUCCAGACUCCUACGGGAGGCAGCAGUGAGGAAUAUUGGUCAAUGGACGAGAGUCUGAACCAGCCAAGUAGCGUGCAGGAUGACGGCCCUCUGGGUUGUAAACUGCUUUUAGUUGGGAAUAAAAAGAGGGACGUGUCCCUAAUUGUAUGUACCAUCAGAAAAAGGACCGGCUAAUUCCGUGCCAGCAGCCGCGGUAAUACGGAAGGUCCAGGCGUUAUCCGGAUUUAUUGGGUUUAAAGGGAGCGUAGGCGGGAUGAUAAGUCAGCUGUGAAAGUUUGCGGCUCAACCGUAAAAUUGCAGUUGAAACUGUCGUUCUUGAGUGUGCACAGGGAUGUUGGAAUUUGUGGUGUAGCGGUGAAAUGCUUAGAUAUCACGAAGAACUCCGAUUG
rnacentral:rRNA from 1 species